rnacentral:rRNA from 1 species
GAUGAACGCUGGCGGCGUGCCUAAUACAUGCAAGUCGAGCGAACAGACGAGGAGCUUGCUCCUCUGAUGUUAGCGGCGGACGGGUGAGUAACACGUGGAUAACCCACCUAUAAGACUGGGAUAACUUCGGGAAACCGGAGCUAAUACCGGAUAACAUGUUGAACCGCAUGGUUCAACAGUGAAAGACGGUCUUGCUGUCACUUAUAGAUGGAUCCGCGCCGCAUUAGCUAGUUGGUAAGGUAACGGCUUACCAAGGCAACGAUGCGUAGCCGACCUGAGAGGGUGAUCGGCCACACUGGAACUGAGACACGGUCCAGACUCCUACGGGAGGCAGCAGUAGGGAAUCUUCCGCAAAGGGCGAAAGCCUGACGGAGCAACGCCGCGUGAGUGAAGAAGGUCUUCGGAUCGUAAAACUCUGUUAUUAGGGAAGAACAAAUGUGUAAGUAACUAUGCACGUCUUGACGGUACCUAAUCAGAAAGCCACGGCUAACUACGUG